GCAUGACGACGCAAGAGGAUGGUGGUUGAACAAACUUGCAAGUAACCUACCAUAUUUCCGUGUGGAGUCAAUUGAGGGGACCAUGUUUCAUGAAGCCAUUAGAAUACUGUUGCUGACUGAGAGGAGGCUGCCUGUAACACAACAAAAUCUGGAAAAAGUCAAGGGGUGUGAAUACUUUACUGGCAGUAACGCAGAAUUAUCACAGGCAGAGGAUCUCUCUUUCGGCUGCUGCUGAUAACAACUGCAUUCUCAUACAACCCAUGUGUACUGGUUGUAGGUAGCCCAGCAGCUAAGGAGUUGGACCUGUGGCAGGAGUUGGACGUGUGGCCAAAAAGUGUCCGGUUCGAAUCUUGGGUCAGGCGCUGGAAAAAACUGCCUGAAUUGAUCCUGACAUCUGGAGUGCCUCUGGUUUCAUCCUCAAAACAUUCACCUGCUGUUGGGCCCUUGACCAUGGCCCUGAACCCCACAACAUGCUUUCCAUCCAGGGGCACUGCUCUGCAGCU